rnacentral:rRNA from 1 species
UAACACGUAUCCAACCUGCCGUCUACUCUUGGACAGCCUUCUGAAAGGAAGAUUAAUACAAGAUGGCAUCAUGAGUCCACAUGUUCACAUGAUUAAAGGUAUUCCGGUAGACGAUGGGGAUGCGUUCCAUUAGAUAGUAGGCGGGGUAACGGCCCACCUAGUCUUCGAUGGAUAGGGGUUCUGAGAGGAAGGUCCCCCACAUUGGAACUGAGACACGGUCCAAACUCCUACGGGAGGCAGCAGUGAGGAAUAUUGGUCAAUGGGCGAGAGCCUGAACCAGCCAAGUAGCGUGAAGGAUGACUGCCCUAUGGGUUGUAAACCUCUUUUAUAAAGGAAUAAAGUCGGGUAUGGAUACCCGUUUGCAUGUACUUUAUGAAUAAGGAUCGGCUAACUCCGUGCCAGCAGCCGCGGUAAUACGGAGGAUCCGAGCGUUAUCCGGAUUUAUUGGGUUUAAAGGGAGCGUAGAUGGAUGUUUAAGUCAGUUGUGAAAGUUUGCGGCUCAACCGUAAAAUUGCAGUUGAUACUGGAUAUCUUGAGUGCAGUUGAGGCAGGCGGAAUUCGUGGUGUAGCGGUGAAAUGCUUAGAUAUCACGAAGAACUCCGAUUGCGAAGGCAGCCUGCUAAGCUGCAACUGACAUUGAGGCUCGAAAGUGUGGGUAUCAAACAGGAUUAGAUACCCUGGUAGUCCACACGGUAAACGAUGAAUACUCGCUGU